AUCGCCUGAGGAUCUUGUUAAAAUGCAGGCUCUGAUACAAUUAAAUCUGGGGGUGGGGUCUGAGAUUCUGAAUCUCUAACAAGUUCUCAGGUGAUGCCCA
rnacentral:pre_miRNA from 1 species